CGCGACGAAUUAGUUCCUGUAGUUUAGCAGACAUAGCUUCUCUGUCUUCCUUUUCAAGUUCUUCUGCUGUUUUUAGAACAGAUUUUUGACUUAAAACAGCAAGAUUCUCUUUAUCGAUUUCAGGAAAUGUAUAGCCUAAAGUGGUUAACUCGGAAAUUAUAAUCGAGAUUUCAAGUUAACUGAAUACAAACCUUUGUAAGAUAAAAGUCGGUGCAUAUCCCUAAUAAAACCGAGGUCUUCUUUAUAACGAUCAACACGACAAAUGGUUUUCCGCCAUUCCUCAAUUAAAGAAAGAAUCAUGACUUGGAUUUUGUUCAAGCGAGAAGGUGGGCGCU